rnacentral:rRNA from 1 species
ACUACGGGUGGCAGCAGUGAGGAAUAUUGGUCAAUGGACGAGAGUCUGAACCAGCCAAGUAGCGUGAAGGAUGACUGCCCUAUGUGUUGUAAACUGCUUUUGUACGAGGGUAAACGCAGAUACGCGUAUCUGUCUGAAAGUAUCGUACGAAUAAGGAUCGGCUAACUCCGUGCCAGCAGCCGCGGUAAUACGGAGGAUACAAGCGUUAUCCGGAUUUAUUGGGUUUAAAGGGUGCGUAGGCGGUCGGAUAAGUUAGAUGUGAAAUCCCGAGGCUCAACUUCGGAAUUGCCUCUGAUACUGUUCGGCUAGAGAGUAGUUGCGGUAGGCGGAAUGUAUGGUGUAGCGGUGAAAUGCUUAGAGAUCAUACAGAACACCGAUUGCGAAGGCAGCUUACCAGGCUACUUCUGACGUUGAGGCACGAAAGCGUGGGGAGCAAACAGGAUUAGAUACCCGUGUAGUC